rnacentral:rRNA from 1 species
GAUGAACGCUGGCGGCGUGCCUAAUACAUGCAAGUCGAGCGAACAGACGAGGAGCUUGCUCCUCUGACGUUAGCGGCGGACGGGUGAGUAACACGUGGAUAACCUACCUAUAAGACUGGGAUAACUUCGGGAAACCGGUUCUAAUACCGGAUAAUAUAUUGAACCUCAUGGUUCAAUAGUGAAAGACGGUUUUGCUGUCACUUAUAGAUGGAUCCGCGCCGCAUUAGCUAGUUGGUAAGGUAACGGCUUACCAAGGCAACGAUGCGUAGCCGACCUGAGAGGGUGAUCGGCCACCCUGGAACUGAGACACGGUCCAGACUCCUACGGGAGGCAGCAGUAGGGAAUCUUACGCAAUGGGCGAAAGCCUGACGGAGCAACGCCGCGUGAGUGAUGAAGGUCUUCGGAUCGUAAAACUCUGUUAUUAGGGAAGAACAAAUGUGUAAGUAACUAUGCACGUCUUGACGGUACCUAAUCAGAAAGCCACGGCUAACUACGUG